AAAACAUUUAUUUAGUAUUUAAAUAUGUUUGCAAUUGUUGCUUUUGAAAACACUUGCGAAACAGAUUAUGUUCCGUUGAAAUGGCUUGAGGGAGUGGAUGCUAAUAGUAUCCAGUUAAUGAUUACAAAUCGUACAUCAGUAAAAUGCCAUUGGCCACCAUUCAAAUAUCCAAACACUGUCUCUAAAGCAAAAAAUAACAGCCAUGAUGCAGAGAUAAAUUGGCCGAUAUAUAAGGCAAGAGUGCUGGGAUUAGCUGACUGCUUGAACAAUGCUCGUCAAAAAGAAAAAAUGGCAGAAGACACAUCCAGUUUAGAAAAUGUAUUUGAAGAGAGAAUAGAAGAAAUUCCAAGACUUUUCAAGAAAACAAAAGAAGACAAGUGACAAAGAUCAGUUACGAGAGAGAAACAGAAAAUGAGGAAUUUGAAAAUGAUCAAUUGUAUAGUGUAGAACCAAAAUAGAAGAUGUUGGUAAAUUCUGCUCUUGUUCAAAAGCCACAGCAACCCUGCAAGCUCCCAUCAAACAAUAAAUCCAGAGUUGGCGAUCAGUUGCAACACGAUGAAAAUUCUAAUGACUUCAACAUAUGGAAUAGUGAAGAAUUUUCACCUCAUAUUGCUUCAACUGCUGAAAGGGCAACAUCGCUGUCAAUGUUAAGUUCUUCUUCUGCAGG